ACCCAAAUGCGUUGAGUUCAGCCUGUGGUUUCUCCCACUUGCUGUUAAUUAGCUUUGGGACACUAAUGAGCUUGCAGGAAUAAUCAUCAACAUGACUGACCUGUAGCUAACAUUU